rnacentral:misc_RNA from 1 species
GAAUCAAUCAACCAUGCUUGGGCAUGGCUUGGAGUUGGGGGUUGCUGGCGUUCACCGUCAGCUCUCCUUAAAUGCAUUAGCGAUCGAGUCGGGCUAGUCUUUUGACGUGCACGGCCUUGGACGUGAUAAUGAUCGUCCUGGCUGGAGCGUUAGGUUGGCAUGACAUAGAUCGCUUCGAUGGGGGGGAGAAGGCAAAAGCAAAGUGAUCGGUCUGUGGAGCUUAGCUACUAGGCAGUCUUGAGGAGAGGCUGGUGAAAACGAGCGAGACGGAUCGAGAUCAGGGCUUAAGCUUUCUUUCUUUCUUCUUGGACUC